rnacentral:tRNA from 1 species
GGCAAGGUAGCUCAGCUGGUAAGAGCGCAGGAUUCAUAACCCUGAGGCCGGGGGUUCAAGUCCCCCCCUUGCUACCA